AAGUCGUAACAAGGUUUCCGUAGGUGAACCUGCGGAAGGAUCAUUAACACAAUUUUACUGUGAUAAAUCCGUUGAAUUCUCGAAUUCAAUGGUAUCCACCCCAUUAUUGACGAACUUUUCUAGAUGUUAAAACAUAGAGCUAGUCUUUAUGUUUUUAACAUUCUAAACCUUUUUCUAUAUCCACACAAAUUUAAACCCCUUUUACAACAUGUAUUAGACUGAAAUGAAAAUUUUCUAUCAAAAAAUUGAUAAAAACAACUUUUAACAACGGAUAUCUUGGCUCUU
rnacentral:misc_RNA from 1 species